AUCAAUUUGCAGGAGUACUUCAUAUAGUAAAGAUGUUAGUUAAUAAUUGUAACAAAACACAGUUUGGAUCUUUUGAUUAAGAACACGGUGAUAUGACAUCCAGGGACCUGGUGGAAACCAGCCAAGCCUGCACUGAAGGGUUGAACAGUUGUGCUUUGAAAAAGGUGUUUAUUGUGUUUUUGUUGUAGGAGCAAAGCUGGUAAGGGCCAGGUGGAGUUUCUGAGGAGUUGGGACGCAGAAGGGGAGGGGGGAGGGCUCAGACAGACGCCCUUCUACCUGAACAGGUUGCCCUUGGACAUGCAGUGCUUUGAUCGCCUUGUGCAGCUGUUGGGAACGCAGGUAGAGAUGUAAAUAGAGGUGCAGAUGCUGCGUGGGAGACGACGCUCCAGUGAGACCGAACCCAACAGCAGCAGCCUGGGGACGAGGAGCCACGGAUGUGGGACAGCAGGAUGCGCUGGGCUCCCAGAACCCGAGACCUGACCUGGAGGGACCCCCACGCCCGCUGGCUCGCAGCACUCAGACAGGCCCUGAGCAGUGCCUGCUCCGCCCGCCAUAUCCUUAUGGCCCUCCUAGACGCUCAACCUGAAAACUGGGCCAUGGAAUGUGACCCUCCCACAAACCCUGUGGCACCAUUUCUGGAGUAGUGCCCCUAAAGACUGAUGCUCUGCAGCCGUGGGGCCUCUUCACUGCCCCUUUCCUCUGUCAGGGCAGGUCACUUCUGCCCAGAACCUUCCAGGGCCUGUCCCCGAGCACCUGACAAGGUCUUGGCAGUGAUCUCAGGCCCUGGGCUGCAGUCUCCCUGACGUCUCCUUUCACUCUCCUUCACCCAGUGCACAUCUUUGUUCAAAAGUCACUUUCUCCAUGACCCUGACCUCACUUCAAACCACAGCCCACCCCCCAGCUACUUCUGAUCCCCAGGACUACUCUACUGCCUUUUCCCGGGAUGUGUGGCCUGCCCCACACUCCCUCCCUCCUGCUUAAGGCUUGCUGUCCUCCCCGCCAUCCAUCCGCCACCCACCCACUGGAAGACAAGCACUCGGGUCCUGGCAGGGCUGUUGGUCUGCCUGCUUCACUGGUUCUCCCAGUGUGGAGGCCCGAAGCCAGAGGUGGCUGACAGUGGUGCAGGGGCUCGAACCCCGGACAGGCCGCCCUGCUCACUGACCCCUCGAACGUGUUUUGGGCACAUUUGCAGCCAUCCCUCCCCAGCACCUAUUCUGGUUUGUUCAUGGCCCUUUCCUUGUCCACACCCUGCUUCCAACGCCCCCCGGAGGGCCCAAGGGGCCCAGUUGCUAAGGAUAAGGGGCAGGUGGUGGCAGUGGGACAAGACCAGGACUUGGGCACCCCACCACCAGGGUGUGGACCUGCCACCAGUACUCAGAUGAUGGGGACCUGCCGGGCUCAGACACUGAGGACCCAGCCCUGCCUGAGCAGCACCCCUGCUCGUGGCAUGUGGGGUCGCUGACCUCCCUCCCACACUCAGAAAACUGCCUUGCUCUCCGUGGUGACAAGGCUCAGAUACCGUUGUUUGCACUUUGUCGUGUGAUCCAUUUACAAAGACACAGGCUCACUCCCCUUUCAGCCCGACCAUUUUCCUCUAUUUGUAGUUCUUACCCUGCUUGUGCAGGUCAUUCAUCUCACCUAUAACAAGAGCCUGGUGGCAGGGAUGCCAGCCGUGGGCCUGGCACAGACGGAUGGACCUGGGUCUGCAGUGACACACACUCACUUUGCAAGCAGGUUCCUGCUGCCUGGUCUCCAUCCCUCUGUCCUUGAUCCCCCUCCCUGACUACAUCCCUGAGGCAUGAGGGUCAAGGUGCUGGGGGGCCUGGCUGGCUCCAGCACCCGGCGGCCCUUUUCCUUCCUCAGUCCCUGCCUUGCUCCCUGCAGCAGACGGGACAUCUCCUGAGGCGCCAGUUCCUCUCCCAUCCUCUGACCUUCCUGUCACCUGGUUGGCCAUGCCCUUGUCUGCAUCACACACCAUGGGGCGUGGGUGUGGGCCUCCCUGGGGACCAUGCUCCAAGCGGGCACAGAGGGCCUGGGGCCAUGCCUAGGGGAGGCCAUGUGUUUGCCACCAGAAGAGCCCGGAUGAGAUGGCUAUUUUGCUUCUUUGAUGUCCUGAACUUCUUGUGGUUCUCUACAUUCUUCAACCUGCUUGUUAUAAAUGUAGGUCGGCAUUUCUUUUUGAUCUCUUCAACCCUCUUCGUCGCAUCAAUAGUUUUAUUCCAGAGCUCUCGCUCAUAUUUGACAGGUUCAUUUCUAUGUUUUCCAAAUUCAAAUGAAUUAUCCACUGUAAGCUCUUUACCAGCUGCUUUACGAAAGGCUAUAGUCCAUGUGGCCUUGGAGGAUGGCACUUUCUUUUAGUUUUUAUGGCAUUUGGAUUUUCAGAAUCCGAGCACCUUGCAGUCAUUCAGACGAACAUUAUGCCAUGGCCAGGGCAGAUGGGCCCCAAACAGAAGUAACACUUGUCUCUGGACAUGCUGGACCUUCGUGUGUGCCCGCCGGCCGGAUGCCAAGCUUGACAGUGCCUCUCUCUUAAAUAUGAGCAGACAACGAAGGACCACCAGACAUUCGAGGAAAGUGCUCCCAUCCCCAGGUAGGAGCAGGACGGCCAAACUCCUGACACCGCAGGCGGCUUCCCCGCACCAGUCCUAGCGGCUCCAGCCAGAAGAAUCCCAGGAAAGGGCUCUGAUUCGCUUUGCUCCAGUCAGGACCUGCUCCCCAACCAAUCAAGAGCAGCCUGAGGGUGGUGUACGACAAGAACAGAUGAAGGCUUGGAGACCGCAAGGCACGGAGAGACUAUGGGACGAUACAGCGGGAAAACAGGGGCUGCGGUCAACCCAGGUCUGCAGUUGCCCAUUGCACCACGGCUUCCUCUCUACAGUCUCUUGCUUAGGGUGCUGAGCAUCUUCUUGCAAGAUCGAAAGGCCCUGAAGGCAGAGAUCACACUGGAUCUUUCCUCCUGCCAGAGCACAGGGUUUCUCUAAGUUGGGUCUGGGCAGAUCCCUAGUUGGCUAUCGCCGGGGGAGUUUGCACGGGGAAAGAGAAACAAGCAACAAAACCACUUGUGGCAUAAACUCCACUGUGUGUGAUGUAAGGUUGAUGAUGAUGAUUCGCAGAAAUUUCAUGUUCUUAGUAAUUACUGCCUCCAAAGGUUGCAUAUGAGCAAUAUGGAGCAUCCUAGCCAGUUCACCUUGACCGAUAUAUUUUCAUAUCAUUUGCCUGUUAGAGUUUACAUAUGUUAAAUUUGUAUUUUCUUUGUUACUAUGGUAUUGUAUUAUAUCCCCAGAGCUGGAAUACAUUGCUCAAAGCGAUUCACUCAAGCAUAAACGUGGGGUUAAAAGGAGACAUGUAAAUUCUCCAACUCUGAAUAAUGUUGUAGACAGAAAUAUAGCACCAGGAGAGCAACACAGAUGCAGAGUGGGUCUGCACGCGGUGGGCCAGCAACUCCGCAGGUGCAGUGUUGCACAAAAAGCUGGAAGAGGAAAGGGCCGGUAGGAAGGGUGACAGGCAGGAGAGGACAUUGGUUUUAUUGGCGCCCCCACCCUGGCUCCCAGUUCCUGUGGGAGUGUCAGGGGCUUGUCUUCAAAAAUGGCACCAUGGCUUCUCCAGGUAAACCCAUAGGGUUAUUUCUGAAACAAGCAAAAGCUAAUUCUGUCCAGCACAAGACUGAUUAAUUUUGCCACUAAAGGCAGAGAAGAUGUCCAAAUGGUAGAUGCCAUUCAACACUCCCUUCCUUCUAGCAAGAGAAGAGAAACAGCUCACACGGUUGCUGAGAAGCCAGGAGAACCUGCCUUUUGGAUGCUGAAUUGUACUCCCCACACCAGAUUCAGAAUUUGAAGUCCUAACCCCUAGUACCUCAGAAUGUGAUUGUAUUUGGAGACAGGGCCCUUAUGAAGAGGUAAUUGAGGUAAAAUGAGGUCGUUGGCAGGGGGCCUAAUCCAGUAUGACUGGAGACCUUACAAGAAGAUUAGGACGCAGACACACACAAAGACCCCGAGAGAAGUCUACCCGUCGAGGAGAGAAGCCUCAGAAGAAACCAGCCCUGCCCACACCUGGGUCUCAGACUUCUGGCCUCCAGACUGUGAGACAAUGAAUUCCUGUUGUUUAUGCCCCUAGCCUGCGGUAUCUCAAUAUUGCAGCGCCGGGACGCAAGUACUUUGCUCAAGACAGAUUAUCAGAUACUAUGUUCAGAAAGCACUACAUGCAGUUGACAGAAUUCCUCAAUCAGAAGACAAGGUUGGAAGCCAUAGGGCAUCAGCUGGACACUACGUGGAAAGGCAGAGGACCCAUGCAAGGGGACCAGUGGGCAUUUUUGACAUUGGGACAGAACCACUGAUGCCUCAGCUCUGGCCUCCACACGGCGUGUGUGUGAAGGCACAGGGCCUCUUUGCUCUGUCGCUGAGAAUUCAAGCUCAGGAAAGAGAUGGUGUGUGUGUGCGUGUGCACACAUGUGCUUAUCAACUGCCCCACUGCCUUGGCAGAGAGAGGAAAAGCCACUUUGACAUCAGUUUCGAGGAAGCACCAAAUCCCUGGGCAGCGUCCCUGCAAUAACAAAGGUUGUACACGAAUGUCUUUCCACCAUUUCCGUUAAGCACAGAGACCUCUUAAGGGUCAACAGUAUGCUUCUCGCAGAGAAGUAAGGGAAGUUAUGAAGGAAACUAAAUUACCACCAGAAGCGAUGUCUCUUUUUGGUGUGCUGGAACCGCCCACGGAUCCAAGAUGUAAAAGGCUCCCGUGGGAAACUGGGAAAUCUGAGGAGUGAUCUUUUUUUUUCUUCCUGACACUGUUAAUUCCUGUAAAAGUGCUUUCUCUGAUUUCUAAUGAUUUGCCAACAUGACAUUUCUUAACACUAUUGUGUUUAGCGUGAAUUUGUCUCAUGGACAAGCAUCACAAUUCUGAUGUAAAGACCAAGCCACAAGGAAGAAUUGUGGUGCCAACAGCUCAGUCACUGACACUGGCUUUUCCCCAAACACUUCAUUAUACUGACAUCAAAAUAAUCACAAUUGUAGCUAACACUUAGCAAAACCUUCCUUCCUAUGUGCCAUGCAUUGUUUCAAGCACCUGUUUUCACACUCAUUUGCUCAUUACAAUGAGUGUUUGAGGUGGACUUUUCUGUCCUGGUUUCCAGAUGAGGAAGCAAGCCCACCGGCGUGAAGAGACAUGCUCAUAGCCAUGCAGCUGCCAGGUGGGGACCCAGGACAGCCUCCCAGCCACCUGGCUCUACCAGCAUGACUGUUACCGCUUCAUUUUAUUAUCAGGCUGAAGAUAGAAUCCAUCAUGCAAACCAUUAGCCAUAUCUGCAUGUGGUGGCUGAACUAGAAGACACCCUCUCCAAAGCCAAAUGCCACCAGAGAGAGGCUUAGGACUGUGCAGGCCAGGAACAUGCCUGUGUUGGGAGGGCGACGUGUCGGGGACACAGCACCUGGGGCCACACUGCGGGCGGCCUCCUGGGAGCGACCCCAGCCUCUGAGAGCAGAUUUGACCUGAAUGCCCAGACAGGCGCCGUACCAGUCAGGUCUGGACGUGUAGGGCAAGCGGCCAGCAAGGGGGAGCAGGAAAUAGAGGCAGGAGAGGAUGCUGCUGCCCGCCUGUGGAGUUUCUUCUUCCCCGGGGAAGCCUCAGUUUGGCUCUAAGACCUUCCAGUUACAGAAGCGGGCCCGCCCGCGUCACCCAGGACGGUCUCCUUCCCAGAAAGGCAGCUGAUCAUUGACAGCAACCACAUCUACAGAAUCCUUCCACAGCGGCGCCUGGGAGAGCGUGGGACUAUCUGGGGACUACUGCCCAACCAAGGGGACAUAAAAUUGACUAUCACAGGCUACAGGGCAAGCUCAGUGGCCUAUAGAAUUUUCCAGUUCAGUGGAGAUGAUCUGGAAACAUCACCUAUGGUUUGACGUGUACCCUUAAAGCCAGGUGAAGAUGCGAUUAAGAAAAGGCCAUCAGCCACGUGGCUUUUAAAUUAUUACUGUUACUUUUUAAAGAAAGUUUUGGAUGAAAGUAUUCUAUGACUGCAAAGAUACCCAGAGUAGGAUGAACUUUCACAAACGACGCCCCCAUCUCCCCAGCACCAGGAAGCACUUGGGCCCCUCGCAGGCCCUCCCCACCAUGAGGUCUUCUCCAGCUCGCGCCGCUCUGCCGGCUUGGCCCGCCAUGUCUGGCCGUCCUCGCUCAGUGCUGUGCCCGUGAGCUCUGUGGAUCCUCGCGGUUUGCUCCUCAGUGCCGUGCCUGUCCCGUGGUAUGAAGACACCAUAAUUCACAUUUUCACACCCCUUCUCUUGAGAGACUUCUGGGCUGUUUCUGGGCUGGGUUACCAUGAAGGCCGCCGCCGGGAGUGCUCCAGUACCAGAUGCAGGGGGGACCCGUGCUUUCUGCCGGGUGCUCCUGGAGUGCAGCUGCUAUAGGUCGUGGGGUACUGCCUUUGGUAGAUAUUGCCAAAACGUUUCCCCAAGAGGCUGUAACCACUUGCACACCGACUGGCAGGGUGUGGGUCUCCUCAUGCAAAGCCUGCCGGUGGUAGAACGCUACACGACGUGGUGUGGUGCUCUGCAUUCCCUCAAUGACUAAUGCCCUUGUGCGUCUCCCCUGUUUAUUGACUAUUUCCAGAUCCUCUUUUGCGAAGCUCUUUGUUCGUUUUUCAAUUCUCUUUGUCCUACUGACUUGUCCGACUUCCCUAUAUACUCUAGAUACAGACCUUUGCCAUAAAUACAUAUUGCAAAUGCCCUUUCCCCCUCUGUGGGCAACCUUUCCCUCUCAAUGAGCAGAAAUUCUUAAUUUUAGUGUAGCCUGAUUUACCAAUCAUUUCCUUUGUGGGUGGCGCUUUUUGUGUCGGUCAGAUGUCUUGGCAUGAUCCAAAGCAAUGAAGAUAUUCCCGUAUGUUGUCUUUAGAAGCUUUAUUGUUUUACCUCAUUUUUUUUGGUUCUCAAUCCACUGGGAAUUGAUUUGUGUGCAUGGUGUGGGGAAUGGUAUGGAAAUCACCUCAGAUAUCCCCUGAACUCAACACCAUGUAUUAAAGAUGUGCUGUUGUAAAGGCUGGUUAUUGUCCCUAGUGUUAGCUUUUGGGC